UACGUAGGGUGCAAGCGUUAAUCGGAAUUACUGGGCGUAAAGCGUGCGCAGGCGGUGAUGUAAGACAGUUGUGAAAUCCCCGGGCUCAACCUGGGAACUGCAUUUGUGACUGUAGAGCUGGAGUACGGUAGAGGGGGAUGGAAUUCCGCGUGUAGCAGUGAAAUGCGUAGAUAUGCGGAGGAACACCGAUGGCGAAGGCAAUCCCCUGGACCUGUACUGACGCUCAUGCACGAAAGCGUGGGGAGCAAACAGG
rnacentral:rRNA from 1 species